rnacentral:rRNA from 1 species
ACUCCUACGGCAGGCAGCAGUGGGGAAUUUUGGACAAUGGGCGAAAGCCUGAUCCAGCCAUGCCGCGUGCAGGAUGAAGGCCUUCGGGUUGUAAACUGCUUUUGUACGGAACGAAACGGCCUUUUCUAAUAAAGAGGGCUAAUGACGGUACCGUAAGAAUAAGCACCGGCUAACUACGUGCCAGCAGCCGCGGUAAUACGUAGGGUGCAAGCGUUAAUCGGAAUUACUGGGCGUAAAGCGUGCGCAGGCGGUUAUGUAAGACAGUUGUGAAAUCCCCGGGCUCAACCUGGGAACUGCAUCUGUGACUGCAUAGCUAGAGUACGGUAGAGGGGGAUGGAAUUCCGCGUGUAGCAGUGAAAUGCGUAGAUAUGCGGAGGAACACCGAUGGCGAAGGCAAUCCCCUGGACCUGUACUGACGCUCAUGCACGAAAGCGUGGGGAGCAAACAGGAUUAGAUACCCCUGUAGUCCCAUGAU